rnacentral:tRNA from 1 species
GGCCGUGUGGCGAAAUGGCAUCGCGUCUGACUACGACUCAGUGCGAUCAGGAGAUUGCAGGUUCGACCCCUGUCUCGGUCA